rnacentral:rRNA from 1 species
UGAGGAAUAUUGGUCAAUGGGCGAGAGCCUGAACCAGCCAAGUAGCGUGCAGGACGACGGCCCUAUGGGUUGUAAACUGCUUUUAUGUGGGGAUAAAGUGCGUGACGUGUCAUGCAUUGCAGGUACCACAUGAAUAAGGACCGGCUAAUUCCGUGCCAGCAGCCGCGGUAAUACGGAAGGUCCGGGCGUUAUCCGGAUUUAUUGGGUUUAAAGGGAGCGUAGGCUGUCUAUUAAGCGUGUUGUGAAAUUUACCGGCUCAACCGGUGGCUUGCAGCACGAACUGGUCGACUUGAGUAUGCAGGAAGUAGGCGGAAUUCAUGGUGUAGCGGUGAAAUGCUUAGAUAUCAUGACGAACUCCGAUUGCGCAGGCAGCUUACUAUAGCAUAACUAACGCUGAUGCUCGAAAGAACGGGUAUCAAACAGG